rnacentral:rRNA from 1 species
UACGGAGGAUGCAAGCGUUAUCCGGAUUCAUUGGGUUUAAAGGGUGCGUAGGCGGGAAAAUAAGUCAGUGGUGAAAACCUGCAGCUUAACUGCAGACCUGCCAUUGAUACUGUUAUUCUUGAGUACAGUUGAAGUGGGUGGAAUGUGUGGUGUAGCGGUGAAAUGCUUAGAUAUCACACAGAACGCCAAUUGCGAAGGCAGCUCACUAAGCUGUUACUGACGCUGAGGCACGAAAGCGUGGGGAU